AUACUUUUGUAAUUCAUAAGCGUGAUGAUUGGGUUUCCAUGCUUUUGCAUGACAUGUGCCUCUGUAAAGCCUUGUUACAAUGUCAGCACACUAGCCACCGGACU